GAGCGACAGAGCGGCGAGCGGUGCGAAAAAAUCGCCACGCAGGCUGUCAGCUCCGCGGGGAGAAGCUCUCGGACCGCGCUGGUGGUGGGGCACUCGCCCUUCCACACAAGCCCGGCAGGACUGCCACCGCGGGGACAGGCACCGAUUUCUGUCCGGCGCUGUACCCGUGGAUGCGAACGGGACCUUCCAAACACCCGGAAGACUGUUUGCGGAGUCGGGAACCGUUGCUGCAGUGUGUUUUCUGAAGAACGGCGGUUGACUAGCAGAAUGUCAAUUUCCACAUUCCUGCUCAUCGUUUGGUUCCAGACAAUGGCCAUCUACCUGUGCACGGUGGACGCGUGGAUUGUUCCACAGCCCAAGAAAAAUGUGUGGGUCACACUCGCCCAAGCCUUGAAACAAGAUCAUAUGUGUUUGUCUACUGCCUCAGCAGAAAAUCCAAUGUCCACAUGUUUAGUAGGGGUUCCAAGUAAGGGGGAUGAGUUUCCAAUCGGUCUGGUCCGCUUGCAAAAGCAGGUGAACGAAAAUAAAAUACCUGAAGUAGGGAAAAUACCAGUGCAAAACCCCCUCAUUUUGUGGCAAAAGUGGAUCCUAGACUUGCCCUCUGCUGAGGGAGAGCCCCAGGAAUUAGAACUCCUGGGCUCCGCAAAAGCUGAAUAUUGCAUUCAAUUUGAUUUUUCCCCAACCAAAGAAGUAAAAUUAUAUGAGCAAGUCAAACAGUACAAAGUGGAAUUCAGGGCGGGUCAAUGGUGCACAGCUGUCUAUAAGCUGAAAUCUGCAUCCACCACUGAUUUCCGUCCCCGCAAGCUGGACAAAGGGGUGUUUCUUAUCUGUGGGGACAGAGCAUACCCAGGAAUCCCCUCUCAUCUUAUUGGAGGUCCAUGCACUUUCGGGCAUCUGACCCUUGCUUCCCCCAACAUGACCCAAAUUCCAAUCGGGCGAGCAAAAGGUGAGAAAAAAAUUACUAAGCGAAGUGCAAGUCAAUUUGAUGAACAUUGUGAUGCAGAAAUUUACCAUUGGGCAAAAUCCAAAAGAGUUGCCGUCUCUGUGUUUUUACCAUGGGUUGCGGCAGCAAAAGCAUUGAGUGAAUUAGGCAAUCUGGAAUGCUGGGUGACAAGGCAGGCAAAUUUAACAUCAGCAGCCCUGAGUGACCUCCUAGAAGACGAGGAAAUAACCAGAAAGGCUACCCUCCAAAAUCGGGCAGCUAUUGAUUUCCUGCUGUUGGCACAUGGUCAUGGAUGUAAAGAGUUUGAUGGUUUGUGCUGUUUUGAUCUGUCAUCUAAAGGCCAGAGUGUCCACUCGUCCAUUCAGGAAAUGAGAAGCCUCAUUGGGAGUGUGAAGCAAGAAAAUGAGGAUUGGUUUAAAAAUCUGUUCAAAGACUGGGACCUUUCUGGGUGGGCAGUGUCUCUUUUAAAAGACAUCUUUUACUUUCUAAUUGCACUGUUUUUAGUUCUGUUAGCAUUUGGGAUUCUUAAGCGAAUAAUCUCCAAGGUCAUCACCUCGAAGCCUAAGGCUUCCGCACCUGUUUUCAUCGCUGCUGCCGUCACGGAGAGCGAUUGGUGGGAAGACGACAAGCAGAAAGACACCGCAGUUUGAGAGCCGCAGUUUUACCCUCUCCCAAGGCACCGUUCAUCUUAUUAAGUAAAAAAGAGGGAGAUGUUGCUAUCACGCUAGCGUGGUAUCGUGGAGGAAGGGAUUUAGAAAGGCCUUGGGGAAUUGGAAGCUGAGGAAAAGAUACAUUUAGGUAUGAGGGAAAGAUACAUUUAUGUAUGCCCCAUUGUUUCGGGAAAGCUUCGCUUCAGCACCUUUCUGUAAGCCCCCUUCUCCCCACCCCUGAGCAGUUCCCAUUGGACCUGACCCCUGGGGUGGUUCUGAUGAGCCCAUGCUGAACACUGUCUCUAUUGUUUAGACCUUAUCUCUUAAUUUUGCUGUAUAAAACUGUAUCUGGGCAGUAGCCCAGGGUCUUUUGUCCCUGCAACUGUUCAGGCAAUACAAUCUUUCUGGACUGC
ensembl:lncRNA